rnacentral:rRNA from 1 species
AAGUUGUUGCAGUUAAAAAGCUCGUAGUUGGAUCUCGGGACGCCCUCGCGUGGUCUCGCGGGUUAUCUAGGCAAUGUCCGCCCGCGCUGCACUGCCGUGGGUUCCCAACUGGUGGGGGGAGGCUCUGUCGGGCCGUUCUGCGGCCGGGAGUGCUCCUGCGAGAGCAGUCGCCGGUACCCUUAGCUGGGUCGCCGGGGGCACCCGCCUCGUUUACUUUGAAAAAAUUAGAGUGUUCAAAGCAGGCUGAAGCUGGCCUGAAUAAUGGUGCAUGGAAUAAUAGAAUAGGAUCUCGGUUCUAUUUUGUUGGUCUCCGGAGCUCGAGAUAAUGAUUAAGAGGGACAGACGGGGGCAUUCGUACUGCGGCGUUAGAGGUGAAAUUCUUGGAUCGCCGCAAGACGAACUACUGCGAAAGCAUUUGCCAAGAAUGUUUUCAUUAAUCAAGAACGAAAGUCAGAGGUUCGAAGACGAUCAGAUACCGUCCUAGUUCUGACCAUAAACGAUGCCGACUAGCGAUCCGCCGGAGUUGUUAACCUAGGACCCGGCGGGCAGCUUCCGGGAAACCAAAGUCUUUGGGUUCCGGGGGAAGUAUGGUUGCAAAGCUGAAACUUAAAGGAAUUGACGGAAGGGCACCACCAGGAGUGGAGCCUGCGGCUUAAUUUGACUCAACACGGGGAAACUCACCCGGCCCGGACACCGUGAGGAUUGACAGAUUGAGAGCUCUUUCUUGAUUCGGUGGAUGGUGGUGCAUGGCCGUUCUUAGUUGGUGGAGCGAUUUGUCUGGUUAAUUCCGAUAACGAACGAGACUCUAGCCUAUUAAAUAGUUCACCGCCCGUGAAUGGUAGCGGUGCCCAUACUUCUUAGAGGGACAAGCGGCGCUCAGCCGCACGAGAUUGAGCAAUAACAGGUCUGUGAUGCCCUUAGAUGUUCGGGGCCGCACGCGCGCUACACUGAAGGAGUCAGAGGGCCUAGUACCUGUCGGACACGGCCGGUUAACCCGUGCAGAAACUCCUUCGUGCUAGGGACUGGGGCUUGAAAUUCUUGCCCAUGAACCAGGAAUUCCCAGUAAGCGCGAGUCAUCAGCUCGUGUUGAUUACGUCCCUGCCCUUUGUACACACCGCCCGUCGCUACUACCGAUGAACGGUUCAGUGAGGCCCUCGGAAGUCCCCCGGGCCGGUGGCAUCGCUGCCGGCUGUCUGGUAGGUGACCGAAGACGGUCGAACUCAAUCAUUUAGAGGAAGUAAAAGUCGUAACAAGGUUUCCGUA